rnacentral:rRNA from 1 species
GUGGACGAACCCCUGGUGUUCGGGUUGUCACGCCAGUGGCAUUGCCCGGUAGCUAUGUUCGGAAAGGAUAACCGCUGAAAGCAUCUAAGCGGGAAACCUGCCUCAAGAUGAGAUUUCCCGGGCCUUCGGGCCCCUAAAGGACCGUAGAAGACUACUACGUUGAUAGGUUGGGUGUGUAAGCGCUGUGAGGCGUUGAGCUAACCAAUACUAAUUGUCCGUGAGGCUUGAUCAU